ACUCAAAUGAAUAGACGGGGACCCGCACAAGCGGUGGAACAUGUGGUUUAAUUCGACGGUAAGCGAGGAACCUCACCAGGGCUUGACAUGUAACUGCAAAUCCCAUGAAAGUGGGACUCCUUCGAGGGUGUUACACAGGUGCUGCAUGGUUGUCGUCAGCUCGUGCCGUGAGGUGUACCCUUAAGUGGGGUAACGAGCGCAACCCCUAUGUUGUGUUGCUAUUUCACAACAGACUGCCUCGGAUAACGGGGAGGAAGGUGGGGAUGACGUCAAAUCAGCAUGGCUCUUACGCCCUGGGCGACACACGUGUUACAAUGGACGGUACAAAGGGCAGCCAAACCGCAAGGUGGAGCUAAUCCCAUCAAAACCGUUCUCAGUUCGGAUCGUGGUCUGCAACUCGACCACGUGAAGCUGGAAUCGCUAGUAAACGCAUAUCAGCCACGGUGCGUUGAAUACGUUCUCGGGUCUUGUACACACCGCCCGU
rnacentral:rRNA from 1 species